UACAGAGGGUGCUAGCGUUGUUCGGAAUCAUUGGGCGUAAAGGGCGCGUAGGCGGCCAUUCAAGUCGGAGGUGAAAGCCCAGGGCUCAACCCUGGAAUUGCCUUCGAUACUGUUUGGCUAGAGACCGGAAGAGGUAAGUGGAACUGCGAGUGUAGAGGUGAAAUUCGUAGAUAUUCGCAAGAACACCAGUGGCGAAGGCGGCUUACUGGUCCGGUUCUGACGCUGAGGCGCGAAAGCGUGGGGAGCAAACAGG
rnacentral:rRNA from 1 species